AAAAGCUUCAUUUACUACAUAGUAAGGAUAAUCCUAAGGACUUAAAAGCUUGAGUUGUUCCUUCCAUGGCAGCUUUAGAUCUCUUAAUGAGCUCCAAGUCAUUGUCUACCUUGAAUAUAAAUCACUGCUAGAAGUAUGUGCCCUCAACAUUCCCAUAUUCCCGAUAUUGACUAGAUAUUUGUUGCUAAUUCAUGAAGAAUUGAAGGGAUCUUUGAUAAUGCCAUCUAUAAUGUACUUCAAGUUCAUGAUCCAAACCCUCUUCUUGCUUUCAAUAACUUCAUUUUUUUUUAUAUUACUUUGUGGUCAAUGUUAUAAGAAUGUUGUAUUUUGUUUACC
rnacentral:lncRNA from 1 species